rnacentral:rRNA from 1 species
CCUACGGGUGGCAGCAGUAGGGAAUAUUGCUCAAUGGGGGAAACCCUGAAGCAGCAACGCCGCGUGGAGGAUGAAGGUUUUCGGAUUGGAAACUCCUUUUGUUAGAGAAGAUAAUGACGGUAUCUAACGAAUAAGCACCGGCUAACUCCGUGCCGGAAGCCGCGGUAAUAUGGAGGGUGCAACCGUAACACGGAAUCACUGGGCGUAAAGAGAGCGUAGGCGGGAUAGCAAGUCAGAUGUGAAAUCCUAUGGCUUAACCAUAGAACUGCAUUUGAUACUGUUAUUCUAGAGUAUGGUAGAGGUAGGUGGAAUUCUUGGUGUAGGGGUUAAAUGCGUAGAGAUCAAGAGGAAUCCUCAUUGCGAAGGCGACUUGCUAGACUAUGACUGACGCUGAUGCGCGAAAGUGUGGGGAUCAAACAGGAUUAGAUACCCCGGUAGUC